AUUGAACGCUGGCGGCAUGCCUUACACAUGCAAAUCGAACGGUAACGGGCCUUCGGGUGCCGACGAGUGGCGAACGGGUGAGUAAUACAUCGGAACGUGCCCGAUCGUGGGGGAUAACGAGGCGAAAGCUUUGCUAAUACCGCAUACGAUCUACGGAUGAAAGCAGGGGACCGCAAGGCCUUGCGCGGACGGGGCGGCCGAUGGCAGGUUAGGUAGUUGGUGGGAUAAAAGCUUACCAAGCCGACGAUCUGUAGCUGGUCUGAGAGGAUGAUCAGCCACACUGGGACUGAGACACGGCCCAGACUCCUACGGGAGGCAGCAGUGGGGAAUUUUGGACAAUGGGCGCAAGCCUUAUCCAGCCAUGCCGCGUGCAGGAUGAAGGCCUUCGGGUUGUAAACUGAUUUUGUACGGAACGAAAAGCCUUCUUUUAAUACAGGAGGGUCAUGACGGUACCGUAAGAAUAAGCACCGGCUAACUACGUG
rnacentral:rRNA from 1 species